CCUACGGGCGGCAGCAGUGGGGAAUAUUGGACAAUGGGCGAAAGCCUGAUCCAGCCAUGCCGCGUGUGUGAAGAAGGCCUUCGGGUUGUAAAGCACUUUCAGUGGGGAAGAAAGCCUUGGGGCUAAUACCCUCGAGGAAGGACAUCACCCACAGAAGAAGCACCGGCUAACUCCGUGCUAGCAGCCGCGGUAAUACGGAGGGUGCGAGCGUUAAUCGGAAUUACUGGGCGUAAAGCGCGCGUAGGCGGUCUGAUAAGCCGGUUGUGAAAGCCCCGGGCUCAACCUGGGAACGGCAUCCGGAACUGUCAGGCUAGAGUGCAGGAGAGGAAGGUAGAAUUCCCGGUGUAGCGGUGAAAUGCGUAGAGAUCGGGAGGAAUACCAGUGGCGAAGGCGGCCUUCUGGACUGACACUGACGCUGAGGUGCGAAAGCGUGGGUAGCAAACAGGAUUAGAUACCCCAGUAGUC
rnacentral:rRNA from 1 species